GUGAGAUCGGGAAGAUAGGAUGUGCCCGACCCUUCUCCAGUAAGGUCCAUGAUUCUCUGGGCUUGGCCAGGACGUCUCAGAGGAGUCCACUGUGGUCCAGGCUGGAGUUUGCUGUGGUGAUGGUUGUCCAUUGUGGUCCACUGGAGUUUGCUGUGGUGAUGGGAGUCCACUGUGAUCCACUGGAGUUUGCUGUGGUGAUGGCUGAUGAUGGCUCACAGGUCUCUGAAUCUCUGUCCGUUCUUUCCAGUAUGUUUUCUCUGCUGUCCAGGGCUAGAGAGAUGGCUCAGUGGUUAAGAGCAUUUGUUGCUCUUGCAAAAGACCCAAGUUCGAUUUCUAGGACCUGCCUCACAUGGCUCAGCUGCAACCAACCUCAACUCCAGCUCCAAGGAGUCAAGUGUCUUUUCAGGUCUCUGCAGGAAGUUGAACAAAAGCAACCCUUCUGCAUAUAUUUUUAUAGAAAAGCAACAACAGAGCCGGGUGGUGGUGGCACAUGCCUUUAAUCCCAGCACUUCUUGGGCAGAGGCAAGAAGAUCUUUGUGAGUUCAAGGGCAGCCUGGCCUAUAGGGAGUCUCAGGCCAACUAGAGUAUGGCGGGAAACCCUGUCUCAAAAACAAACAAAAAGAGUUUGAGGAAGAAAGACCACCUCAGACCAUCCGUGUACCUGUCGUUUCUUUUCAAGACCAUCCCAUUGCCCUUGACCUGUGUACUGAAAACUGGUGGAAAGCCAUCUUCAGCUUUGUCUACUGGGUCCUCAGGCCUGAGGCUGUAACACCGAGGCAGGGGCUUGCCUUGGGCAUAGGAGCCCUGGGGUUCAACCUCCAACACCAUAACCACACACACAAAAAAAGAUUGUUUUCUUCCAUCGACUAUCCAUAAACCAUUUCUGGUUCAACUUUCUCUCCUCCUGUCAAGCAAUAAUCAGAACCAGAAUGUUUUAGACAGCGUCUGAUGAACAUGUAGCAUGCCUUCGAGUUCCUUACCAGCUCAGAAUAAUGAAGAAAAGGAGUCCUCAAAUACUGUGAAUGUAUGUGAACUGGAGGACACAGAAGAAUAAAACCUUAGAGGACGGGCCUGGCUGGUGGCGGCUCACUCCUGAAGAAGAUAUGCGUAGCCAGCCAUGGUACUCGGACCUCCAGAGCCCCCUGCCCUUAUUGCUUCUCCUACACUAGAGCUAGUGGGAUACAGUGCAAGACACUUGUGUGUGACUGCUCUUUCUUAAGCUGCAGUUCUGUGUUGGCUGGUUUUAUGUCAAUGAGAUACAAGCUGGAGUCAUUUGGAAAGACGGAAUUUCAACUGAGAAAAAGCCAGACUGGUCUAAGGGCAAGCCUGUGGUGCAUUUUUUUUUUUUUUUUGAUUGGUGAUUGUUGUGGGCAGAACCACCUCUGGACUGGUGGUCCCUGGUGCUAUAAGAAAGCAGGCUGGGAUGGGGGGAG
rnacentral:lncRNA from 1 species